GAUGAAGAACGUAGCAAAAUGCGAUACUUGGUGUGAAUUGCAGAAUCCCGUGAACCAUCGAGUUUUUGAACGCAAGUUGCGCCCGAAGCCUUUUGGCCGAGGGCACGUCUGCCUGGGCGUCACGCAUCGCGUCGCCCCCCACAAUUCCCCGUAAAGGGAACGUGUGUUUUGGGGGCGGAUAUUGGUCUCCCGUGCUCAUGGCGUGGUUGGCCGAAAUAGGAGUCCUUUCGAUGGACGCACGAACUAGUGGUGGUCGUAAAAACCCUCGUCUUUUGUUUCGUGCUGUUGCUCGCAAGGUAAACUCUUUAAAAACCCCAAUGUGUCGUCUCUUGACGACGCUUCGACCGCGACCCCAGGUCAGGCGGGACUACCCGCUGAGUUUAAGCAUAUCAAUAAGCGGAGGA
rnacentral:misc_RNA from 1 species